GGCGACCCCGAGGCCCGAGAGGAUUCCCCAGUCCCGGAAGCAAUCGCCAAGACUCCUUCCUUCCAGCCUUUGGCUCUUUGAUACCGGGCAGCUGCAAGUCCUCGACCGUGGUGGGGUCAAGUGAUGACAUAGAGGACUGUUUGUGGUCAGUUGAUGGAUGGCCUUAGCUGACAAUGUCCUUUGGACGUACCUGUGGCAUCUUCCACGGAGGUCUAGUUAUGGAGCAGCCGGCCAGCAGGAAGCUACCAGCUCACUGUCUAAGCACCACGAGUGAAGAAAGUCCUGGAUGGGGACUGGGAGGGAAUCGUCAGUCCCAGGACUUGCCUCUCUCUGCUCCAUUCUGUCAAAAUGUAGUGAAACAGCGGGGAUCCACCUUCCACUCCACACAGCUGAGUAUCUUCCUUGAAGAUGAAAGAACAA
ensembl:lncRNA